CAAAACAGAAGUGAUAUAAUGUUUUACAUCUUGUAUAAACCACUAAUUCUGCGUUUACAAUAGGACAGACAACACACGUCGAAAAUAUCAGUGAAGUACUUUUUCAGUUUCCAUGCAGACUUAGGAUAGUGGGUAUUAAGAUGUUUCUUUCAAUAGCUAUCCAUUUUUGUUGUUUUAUAUUUACCAUAGGUGUCAAUAUUGAGGACUGCAUCGGACAGCAAUGUUCCGAAGUUGUAUCUAUUCCGCUACUGGAUAAUAUGAAAGCUACAUUAAAAGCUGACUUAGACGUUGCCGAACUUAAUAAAGUUUUGUCAAAAUAUAUUGAACAAGAAGUGACAAAAGCUGUCAAAGGAGCGAUCUUCAAUCAAAUGGAGGGAACUGUUGAUCAAAUAACCGAAAAUGUGACACGAUUAAUACAG
rnacentral:lncRNA from 1 species